rnacentral:rRNA from 1 species
AUUGAACGCUGGCGACAUGCCUUACACAUGCAAGUCGAACGGCAGCACGGGUGCUUGCACCUGGUGGCGAGUGGCGAACGGGUGAGUAAUACAUCGGAACAUGUCCUGUAGUGGGGGAUAGCCCGGCGAAAACCGGAUUAAUACCGCAUACGAUCUACGGAUGAAAGCGGGGGACCUUCGGGCCUCGCGCUAUAGGGUUGGCCGAUGGCUGAUUAGCUAGUUGGUGGGGUAAAGGCCUACCAAGGCGACGAUCAGUAGCUGGUCUGAGAGGACGACCAGUCACACUGGGACUGAGACACGGCCCAGACUCCUACGGGAGGCAGCAGUGGGGAAUUUUGGACAAUGGGCGAAAGCCUGAUCCAGCAAUGCCGCGUGUGUGAAGAAGGCCUUCGGGUUGUAAAGCACUUUUGUCCGGAAAGAAAUCCUUGGCCCUAAUACGGUCGGGGGAUGACGGUACCGGAAGAAUAAGCACCGGCUAACUACGUG